AACAAACGCUGGCGGCGUGCCUAACACAUGCAAGUCGUACGAGAAAGUCGGCUUCGGCCGAUGAGUACAGUGGCGCACGGGUGAGUAACGCGUGGAUAAUCUGCCCUUAAGUGUGGAAUAACGUACCGAAAGGUGCGCUAAUACCGCAUAAUGCCUGGCAACACAAGUUGUCCGGCCAAAGAAGGCCUCUGUUUACAAGCUUUCGCUUCAGGAUGAGUCCGCGUACCAUUAGCUUGUUGGUGGGGUAAUGGCCUACCAAGGCUGCGAUGGUUAGCUGGUCUGAGAGGAUGAUCAGCCACACUGGAACUGAGACACGGUCCAGACUCCUACGGGAGGCAGCAGUGAGGAAUAUUGCGCAAUGGGGGCAACCCUGACGCAGCAACGCCGCGUGAGUGAGGAAGGUUUUCGGACUGUAAAGCUCUGUCGAGCGGGAAGAAGUGUACCAUGGCUAAUAUCCAUGAUAUUGACGGUACCGCGU
rnacentral:rRNA from 1 species